rnacentral:rRNA from 1 species
CCUACGGGUGGCAGCAGUGAGGAAUAUUGGGCAAUGGGCGGGAGCCUGAACCAGCCAAGUCGCGUGAGGGAUGACGGCCCUAUGGGUUGUAAACCUCUUUUGUCGGGGAGCAAAGUGCCGCACGUGUGCGGUUUGGAGAGUACCCGAAGAAAAAGCAUCGGCUAACUCCGUGCCAGCAGCCGCGGUAAUACGGAGGAUGCGAGCGUUAUCCGGAUUUAUUGGGUUUAAAGGGUGCGUGGGUGGACGCUUAAGUCAGCGGUAAAAUUGCAAUUGAUACUGGCAGUCUUGAGUACAGUUGAGGUAGGCGGAAUUCGUGGUGUAGCGGUGAAAUGCUUCGAUAUCACGAAGAACUCCGAUUGCGAAGGCAGCUUACUAAACUGCCACUGACAUUGAUGCUCGAAAGUGUGGGUAUCAAACAGGAUUAGAUACCCUUGUAGUC